ensembl:lncRNA
CCCCCCCCCCCCCCCCCGCGAUGCCAAAGUCGAAUCUCAGAACGGGAUGGGAAAAACAAUGCGAAAAAAGGAGAGAAAAAAAAAAGAGAGAUUGGAAAGGAAGAGGGGAAGAAAAUGGGAAGAGAUGCCAAAAAAUAGGAGAAAAAGGGAGGAAAAAGGAGAAAAAGAGGAGGAAAAGAGGAGGAAAAAGGAGGAAAAAAGGAGAAAAAAAGGAGGAAAAAAGGAGGAGGAGAUAAAAUGGAGAAAAAAGGAGAAAAAAGGGAGGAAAAAGGGAGGAAAAAAGGAGAAAAUGAGGAGGAAAAAAAAGAGGAGAAGAGGAGAUAAAAUGGAGAAAAAGGGAGAAAAAAGGAGAAAAAAGGGAGGAAAAAAGGAGAAAAUGAGGAGGAAAAGAGGAGGAAAAAGGAGGAAAAAAGGAGAAAAAAGGGAGGAAAAAAGGGAGGAAAAAAGGAGGAGAAGAGGAGAUAAAAUGGAGAAAAAAGGAGAAAAAAGGGAGGAAAAAAGGAGGAGAAGAGGAGAUAAAAUGGAGAAAAAGGGAGAAAAAAGGAGAAAAAAGGGAGGAAAAAAGGAGAAAAUGAGGAGGAAAAGAGGAGGAAAAAGGAGGAAAAAAGGAGAAAAAAAGGAGGAAAAAAGGGAGGAAAAAAGGAGGAGAAGAGGAGAUAAAAUGGAGAAAAAAGGAGAAAAAAGGGAGGAAAAAAGGAGAAGAGGAGAUAAAAUGGAGAAAAAAGGAGAAAAAAGGAGGAAAAAGGGAGGAAAAAAGGAGAAAAUGAGGAGGAAAAAAAAGGAGGAGAAGAGGAGAAUAAAAAGGAGGAAAAGAGGAGAAAAAAGGGAGAAAAAAAGGAGAAAAAGGGAGGAAAAAGAGGAGGAAAUGAGAAGAAAAAAAAAGGAGGAGAAGAGGAGAAAAAAUGGAGAAAAAAGGAGAAAAAAAGGAGGAAAAAUGGAGAAAAUGAGGAGGAAAAAAGGAGGAGAAGAGGAGAAAAAAAGGAGGAAAAGAGAAAAAUGGAGAAAAAGGGAGAAAAAGGGAGGAAAAAAUGAGGAAAUGAGAAGAAAAAAAAGGAGGAGAAGAGGAGAUAAAAUGGAGAAAAAAGGACAAAAAAGGGAGGAAAAAAGGAGAAAAUGAGAAAAAAAAGGAGGAGAAGAGGAGAAUAAAAAGGAGGAAAAGAGGAGAAAAAAUGGAGGAAAAAAGAUAAUGAGAAAAAAAGGAGGAGAAGAGGAGAUAAAAUGGAGAAAAAAGGAGAAAAAAGGAGAAAAUAGUGAGGAAAAAGAGGAGAAAAAAAGGGAGGAAAAAGGAGAAAAUGAUGAGAAAAAAAGGAGGAGAAGAGGAGAAAAAAGGAGGAAAAGAGGUGAAAAAAUGGAAAAAAAAGGAGAAAAAGGGAGGAAAAAAGGAGAAAAUGAGGAGGAAAAAAAAGGAGGAGAAGAGGAGAAAAAAAGGAGGAAAAGAGGAGAAAAAAUGGAGAAAAAGAGGUGAAAAAGUGGAGGAAAAGAGGAAUAAAAGAGGAGAAAAGGAGGAGAAAAAAUGCGAAAAAAAGGAGAGAAAGGAGAAAAAAGGGGGAGAAUGAGGAAAAAAAAAGAGAGGAAAAAAGAUUUGAAAGGAAGAGGGGAAGAAAAUGGGAAGAGGUGCCAAAAAUAGGAGAAAAAGGGAGAAAAAAAGGAGAAAAAAGAGGAGGAAAAAAUGGAGAGAAAAGGAGAAAAAGGAGAAACAGAGGAGAAAAGGAGGAGAAAAAGGAGAAAAAAGGAGAAAUAAAGGAGAAAAAGGGAGAAAAGGGAGGAAAAAAGGAGAAAAAAGGAGAAGAAAAGGAGAAAAAAGGAGAAAAAAACGAGAAGAAAAGGAGAAAAAAAGGAGAAGAAAAAGAGAAAGAGAAAAGGAGGAAAAAAGGAGAAAAUGAGAAAAAAGGAAGAAGAGGAGAUAAAAUGGAGAAAAAAUGAGAAGAAAAGAAGAAAAAAGGAGAAAAAAGGAGAAAAAAGGGAGAAAAAAGGAGAAAAAAGGAGAAAAAAGGAGAAAAAAGGAGAAAAAAGGAGAAAAAGGAGAAAAAGGAGAAGAAAAGGAGAAGAAAAAGGAGAAGAAAAGGAGAAAAAAAAGGAGAAAAAAGGGAGAAAAAAGGAGAAAAAGGGAGAAGAAAAAGGAGAAGAAAAGGAGAAAAAAGGAGAAGAAAAGGAGAAGAAAAAGGAGAAAAAAGGAGAAGAAAAGGAAAAGAAAAGGAGAAGAAAAAAAGGAAAAAAGGAGAGAAAAGGAGAAAAAAGGAGAGAAAAGGAGAAAAAAAGGAGAAGAAAAGGAGAAGAAAAGGAGAAGAAAAGGGGAAGAAAAGAUUUAAAAAGGGAGAAAAAAAGCUUAAAAAUGAAGGAAAAAAAGAAGAAAAAAAAACCGAAAAAAAAAAGGAGAAAAUAAAACAGGGAAAAAAAAAACGAGAGAAAAACAAACAAACAAAAAAAGCCAAAAGAAAAGAAAAAAAAGCAAGAAAAAAAGCAAAAAGCACCGAGCGGAGGGGAGGGACCCCCAACCCCCCCCCCCCCCCACCCCCCUCCCCAAAAACCCCCCCAACGGGACUCAGCACAGAGCGAAGCAGACGACGACGUCGAGGAGAGGAGAGGAGGAGGAGGAGGAGGAAGAGCCGCUAUGGGGGCGGGGGGGCGCCGUUUCUCCUCCCGUCCUGCAGGUGGCGCUGUGGGAGCGCCCAACUUCUCCUCCAUGACCGCGUCGGACUGAAACCUCUCAGAGCAAUAAUACUAAUAAUACUAAGAAUGCUAAUAAUAAUAAUAAUAAUUAAUGAUAAUAAGGAUACUAAUCAUACUCAUACGGAUAAAUAAUCGUGGAGGGUGGCCGGCGUGAGCUCACGAGGACUCACGAGGACUCGCGGCCGCCCGGCCCCACUUCUCACUAGCGACGAAGAUCAGGGAUGCCGUCACAGUAGCGCUAGCAAACCCCCCCCCCCCCCCAAAACCCCCCCAUAGCCAACCUGCAACCGACCCCUCCCCCCCCCCGACCCCCCCCUUUGGUCGAAAUCCCCCCCCCCGGGCUUUGCACGCGCGUGUGAGGGGCCGUCGGGUGAGUGCACACGCGGGUGUGAGCGUGCGUGGGGCCGGCAGGCAGCAAUAGGCUCUCAGGGGCUCUGUGAGUGCUGCGGGUGCUGCAUGGCUGUUGCACACUCACAUACACACUGCAGGUGUGCACGCGUGUGUGACAGGCUGUAGUGAGUGCACACGUGUGUGCAAGUGUAUGUGCAACAGUGUGGUGCCAGCAGGCAGCAAUAGGCUCUCAGGGGCUCUGUGAGUGCUGUGGGUGCUGCAUGGCUGUUGCACACUCACAUACACACUGCAGGUGUGCACACGUGUGUGAUAGGCCAUAGUGUGCAAGUAUCUGUGCAACCAUGUGGUGCCAGCAGGCAGCAAUAGGCUCUCAAGGGCUCUGUGAGUGCUGCGUGGCUGUUGCACAUGCACGUGUGAGCACACACAUGUACGUGCAUGCACACGUCUGUGACAGGCUGUAGUGAGUGCACACGUGUGUGCAAGUGUCUGUGCAACCAUGUGGUGCCAGCAGGCGGCUGUCGGCUCACAAGGGCUCUGUGAGUGCUGCGUGGCUGUUGCACACGCACGUGUGAGCAAUAUAUGCAUGCACACGCGUGUGACAGGCUGUAGUGAGUGCACACGCGUGUGCGUCUGUGCAACUGUGUGGUGCCAGCAGGCAGUAAUUGGCUCACAAGGGCUCUGUGAGUGAUGCGGAUGCUGAUUGCUGUUGCACACGCACGUGUGAGCACACACACAGAUACAUGCAUGCACAUGUGUGUGACAGGCCGUAGUUCAUGCACACGCGUGUGCAAGCAUCUGUGCAACUGUGUGGUGCCAGCAGGAAGCAAUUGGCUCACAGGGGCUCUAUGAGUGCUGGUGGUGCUGCUCUGCUGUUGCACACGCACGUGAGCACACGCACAUAUAGCCCUGCAGCAUGUAUGCACAGGCGUGUGCAAGCACAGGUAUGCGCAUGUCACGGCCGCUGUUGCACACAUACGUGUGAGCACACACAUGUACAGGCAUGCAACGUGCAGGCACACGUGUGUGUUGUGCACUUACACGUGCACACUCACACACAGAGGGCACGCAUGCUUACACACGCACGUGCAAGCAGGCAGCAGUAGGGCCUGCAUGCUCUGCAAUGGCUGCUGGUGUUGCACACGCGUGUACAUGGAGGCACACACAUGUGCACGCUCGCUUAUAGCUAUGCAUGUUGCACACGCGUGUGCAAGCACGGGUAUGUAUGUGGUGCCAGCAGGCAGCAGCCGGCUCACACGCGCUGUGAGUGCUGCACAGCUGUUGCACACGCGUGUACGUGUGGGCACACGCACAUGCACACCCAUCCACACAUUCAAGCAUACGCGUGUGUCACGAAUUUACAUGCACACACACUCACACGUGCACACACAUUCACACACUCCUCGUGCAAGCAGACAGGAAGGAGCUGCUCUGCUUUGUGAGCGCUGUCGGUGUUGCACACGCGUGUGCAUGUAUGCACACGCACACACACACACACACCUGACACGCACGUGGAUCCAAGCGAGGCGCCCUAAGUGCGGCGGGUGCUGCACACGCGUGUGAACAUUUGCACACGCAGACACACCCACACACAAGCAGGCUUGUGUGCUCUGCACGUGCUGCUGGUUUUGCACACCCAUGCCAAUGUUUGCACGCGCAGCCGGUGUGCACUCACGUACACACUCACAUCAAGCAGACGUGGGCAGGCAGGCAUGCACACAAGUGCUGCUGGUGUUGCACACCUCUUGCACACACAUACCCAUGCAGGCACACACGCAUACAAACAUGCUACACGCAGCCUUGCACACUCAUUGUGCCAUCACACACGUGUGUGCUCUGCAAGUGCUGCUGCUGUUGCACACCUCUUGCACACACAUACCCAUGCAGGCACACGCAUGCAACACACAGCCUUGCACACUCAUUGUGGGAGCCCACAGACACACGUGUGAGCUCUGCAAGUGCUGCUGCUGUUGCACACUUAUUGCACACACGUACAUGUAUGCACACACACACCUCGCAGCCUUGCACACUCGUUGUGGCAGCACACAGACACACGUGUGUGCUCUGCAAGUGCUGCUGCUGUUGCACACCUCUUGCACACACAUACCCAUGCAGGCACAUGCACACGCAUGCAACACACAGCCUUGCACACUCAUCGUGGCAGCACACAGACACACAAGUGUGCUCCACCAGUGCUGCUGGUGUUGCACACCUCUUGCACACACAUACCCAUGCAGGCACACACGCAUACAAACAUGCAACACAGCCUUGCACACUCAUUGUGGCAGCACACAGACACACGUGUGCGCUCUGCAAGUGCUGCUGCUGUUGCACACCUCUUGCACACGCAUAUCCAUGCAGGCACAUGCACAUACAUACAUGCAGUACGUGGCCUUGCACACUCAUUGUGGCAGCACACAGACACAUGUGUGAGUUCUGCAAGUGCUGCUGGUGUUGCACACCUCUUGCACACACAUACCCAUGCAGGCACACGCAUGCAACACACAGCCUUACACACUCAUUGUGGGAGCCCACAGACACACGUGUGCGCUCUGCAAGUGCUGCUGCUGUUGCACACCUCUUGCACACACAUACCCUUCCAGGCACACGCACACGUAUGCAACACGCAGCCUUGCACACUCACUGUGGCAGCACACGGACACACAUGUGCGCUCUGCAAGUGCUGCUGGUGUUGCACACCUCUUGCACACACACGUACAUGUAUGCACACACACACCUCGCAGCCUUGCACACUCGUUGUGCCAUAACACAGAAACACAUGUGUGCUCUGCAAGUGCUGCUGCUGUUGCACACCUCUUGCACACGCAUAUCCGUGCAGGCACAUGCAUGCAACACGCAGGCUUGCACACUCGUUGUGGCAGCACACAGACACACAUGUGUGCUCCGCAAGUGCUGCUGGUGUUGCACACUUAUUGCACAUACACGUACAUAUAUGCACACACAAACACUCAUCGUGCAAGCAGACGUUGCACAUCUUGCACACUCAUGCAGCGUGCAGGCUCACGCAUGUGUUGUGUACACAGCCCUGAGCACGCUUGCACACUUUGCUGGUGUUGCACACCCAUUGUAUGCACAAACAUGUUUGCACACGCAUGUUAGGUGCCACCUCCCAUGCUCUGCAAGUGCUGCGGCUGUUGCACACGCACACGCAAGUGUGCACAAGCGAUGUGUUGAGCACUGCUCGCGUGUGCAAGGCACGUGGCAUGAGUGUGCAUGAGGAGCACACGUGCAUGAGCGUCGCCAUGCGCACAGACUGCCUUGCACACGCGUGUGAGUAGGAUCACAUUGCACACGCAUCCUGUCAGCACACUGUGCAAAGCACACUGCCCCGGUGCACAAACAUUCACACCUUGCACACCCACACCCCUGUGCACACGCGUGAGAGCCCUGCACACGCACCACAUAAUGCACACCUGCACCACUUGCUCGGGUGUGCAAACCUUGUGGGUGCAACGUGCGUGCACAUCCCGUGCUCACACGCUACACACUGUGUGCACACUCAUUACACACCCAGUGCUCACCCAUUGCACACUCACUGCACUGCACAUCCAUCACAAUCCCUUUGCACACCCAUUGCACACCGACUGCACACACUGCACUCCCAGUGCACACCCAUUGCACACUCACUGCUCAGCACAUCCUUUAGACUCCCUGUGCACACCCGUUGCACACUCACUGCACAUCCAUUACAAUCCCUUUGCACAACCACUGCACACUGACUGCACAUCCAUUACAAUCCCUUUGCACACCCAUUGCACACCGACUGCAUGCACUGAAUCCCCUCUGCACACUCAUUGCACACUCACUGCACUGCACAUCCAUUACAAUCCCUCUGCACACCCAUUGCACACUCACUGCACUGCAUCUCCAUCACACCCCCUGUGCACACUCAUUGCACACUUGCUGCACUCCCAUUAGAUCCCGUGUGCACACCCACUGCUCACCAACUGCACUCCCUGUGCACACUCAUUGCACACUCACUGCACACCCAUUGCACCCCCUGUGCACACCCAUCGGACACUGCAUGUCAACUGCACUCCCUGUGCACACUCAUUGCACACUCACUGCACACCUAUUAGACCCCCUGUGCAUGCCCGUUGCAUGCCAACUGUACUCCCUGUGCACACUCAUGGCACGCAGUGCACACUCACUGCACACCCAUUCUGUACACUGCAUUCCCUGUGCACACCCACUGCACACUCACUGCACACUGCAUUCCCUGUGCACACCCAUUCUGCACACACUGUGCACACCCAUUGCACACUCACUGCACGCACUGCACUCCCCGUGCACGCCCACUGCACACUCAUUACACGUCCACUGUGCACUCCUUGCACACACUGCACCCCCUUUGCACACUCACUGCCCACCCACAGCGUGCACUGCACUCCUGUUGCACACCCACUGCACACACUGCACGCUCUGUGCACACACACUGCGCUGCACACUCACUGCAUGUCUACUGCAUGCUCUUUGCACGCACUGCACCCCCUUUGCACACUCACCGCACACCCACUGCAACCUGUGUGCACACUCACUGCACACCCAGCACUCUUUUUGCACACACACUGCACGCCCUGUGCACACACUCAUUGCACACCCACAGCGCACACACCCACCGCUCACCCCACGCAUGCAGUGAACUCCUCUUGCACACUCACUGCACAUGUUGCACUCCCCUGCACACACAGCUCCCCCUGUGCAAGCCCAGUGCACACCCACCGCAGACCCUUUGCACGCACCACACUCCUCUUGCACACCCACUGCUCCCUCUGCACACCCCCUGCUCCACACACACACCACCGUGCCCUGUGCAUGCCCACAGCACUCCCCGUGCACACCCAUUGCACACCCGUUGCACACACACCACGCACUGUAAACCCACUGCACUUGUUGCUCACGUUACCAACGCGCUGCACACGUUGCACACCCACUGCACACAUGACACACCCGUUGCACACACACUGCACACACAUUGCACACCCAUUGCACACAGACUGCACACUGUGCACGCUCCUUGCACGCACAUUGCACACCCUCUGCACACACCACACACGUGAUUGCAGGCAUUGCACACGUUGCACACACAAACGUGUGACACUGCAUACGUGCAGCACCCCACAAACACACUGCACACCCAUUGCACGCACACUAUAAGCACACUCAGCACACACAACAUGCAACAAACGUGACACACGUGUGACACACGCGUGACACUCAUAACAAUCACCAGACACACUCAGUGCCCUGCACACGCACUGCACAACCAUUGCACACACACUAUAGGCACAAUCAGCACACACAACACACGUGACACACGCGUGACACACUCAUAACAAGCACCAGACACACUCAGCACCCCACACAUGCACUGCACGCCCAUUGCACACACACUCAGAACACACAACACGUGUGACACACACAUAACACACUCAUAGCAACACCAGACACACUCACUGCCCUGCAGGUGCCUUGCACGCCCAUUGCACACACACUAAAAGCAUACUCAACGCACACAACACAUGUGACACACACAUGUGACACACACGUGACACAAACACGUGACACACAUGUGACUCACACUCUGUACACACACAACACACUCGCACACAGUGCCCCCCACACCCCCUGCACUCCCCUUGCACACCCACUGCACACAAACGCGUGGCACACACGACACACACACGCACUACACCACACACACACUCACAACACGCACACCGCACGCCCAUUGCACGCCUAUUGCACACCCAUUGCAUGCCCAUUGCACACGUGACACAUGUGGCACACACUACACACCACUCACACAUGAGACACACACUCACAACCAGCACUGCAUGCACUCAGUGCCUGCAGGCCCAUUGCACACCCAUUCCACAUCCAUUGCACACCCGCUGCACAUGUGACACGUGUGCCACACAGCACGCACACAACACACGCACAAAACACACACACACAACCAGCACUGCGUGCACUCAGUGCCUGCACACCCAUUACACGCCCAUUGCACGCCCAUCACACAGCCAAUGCACACCACUUGCACACCCAUUGCACACGUACUGCACACGUGUCACGUGUGAGACACACCACACACACGACACACACACGAACACUGCAUGCACUCGGUGCCUGCACACCCAUUGCACACCCAUUGCACAGCCAUUGCACGCCCCUUGCACACCCACUGCACACGUGACACGUGUGACACACACUACACACCUCUCACACAUGAGACACACACUCACAACCAGCACUGCAUGCACUCAGUGCCUGCAGGCCCAUUGCACACCCAUUGCACACUCAUCACACAGCCACUGCACACCCCUGCACAACCACUGCACACGUGACACAUGUGACACACACCACACACAUGACACACACACACACACUGCAUGCACUCAGUGCCUGCACACCCAUUGCACGCCCAUUGCACGCCCAUCACACAGGCAUUGCACGCCCCUUGCACACCCACUGCACACGUGACACGUGUGACACACACUACACACCUCUCACACAUGAGACACACACUCACAACCAGCACUGCAUGCACUCAGUGCCUGCAGGCCCAUUGCACACCCAUUGCACACUCAUCACACAGCCACUGCACACCCCUGCACAACCACUGCACACGUGACACAUGUGACACACACCACACACAUGACACACACACACACACUGCAUGCACUCAGUGCCUGCACACCCAUUGCACGCCCAUUGCACGCCCAUUGCACACCCAUUGCACGCCCCUUGCACACCCACUGCACACGUGACACGUGACACAAACCACACACACAACACACGCGCAAGACGCACACACAACAUGCACUGCAUGCACACUCAUUGCACACACAUUGCACGCCCAUCACACAGCCAUUGCACGCCCCUUGCACACCCACUGCACACGUGACACGUGUGACACACCACACACAUGACACACACACAACACACUGCAUGCACACCCAUUGCACGCCCACUGCACACACACCACACCCACAUGACACACCCACAUAGCACUCACCGUGUGCACUCGGUGCCCUGCAUGCCUCUUGCACGCCCGCCACACACCCACAGCCCAAAUCGCAUGGCCGUUGCACACCCACAGCACACACGACACGUGUGAGACACACCGCACGCUCCAUACACACGCACGCAACACACAGCGCACACACUCAGCACGCCGCAUGCCCGUUGCACACCCGUUGCACGCCCACUGCACGCACGCAAUACACAACUCAGACAACACACAGCACACGCACGCACAAAGCACACUCACAACACUCACUGCGCACACUCAGCACUCCUCACAUCUGUUGCACACUCAUUGCACUCCCAUUGCACACCCACCACACACACAACACGCGUGACACACACAUGACACACACAACACGCAUGCACAAUGCUCAGUACAUGCACACAGUGUCCUGCACACUCAUUGCACGCCCAUUACACACACUGCUCACAUAUGGCCCGUGUGACACACGCAGCACACUCACACACGCAUGCACAACGCUCAGUACACACAGUGCCCUGCACAAAAUUGCACACUCAUUGAACGCCCAUUGCACACCCACUGCUCACACAUGGCCCGCGUGACACAUACACGCACUUGAUGCACACUCACAACGUGCAUUGCACGCACUCAGUGCCCUGCACCCAAAUUGCACACUCAUUGCACACCCAUUGCAUGCCCAUUGCACACCCACCACACACACGACACGCGUGACACAUGCGUGACACACACAACACGCAUGUAGAACACUCAGUACAUGCACUCAGUGCCCUGCACACUCACUGCACACUCAUUGCACGCCCAUUGCACACCCACUGCACACACACAACACGCGUGACACACGUGACACACACAACACGCAUGCACAACGCUCAGUACAUGCACACAGCGUCCUGCACACUCGUUGCACACUCAUUGCACGCCCAUUGCACACCCA